rnacentral:rRNA from 2 species
GGAUGCGAUCAUACCAGCAUUAAAGCAACGGAUCCUAUCAGAUAUUCGAAGUGAAGCGUGCUUGGGCGAGAAUAGUACUAGGAUGGGUGACCUCUUGGGAAGUCCUCGUGUUGCAUUCC